rnacentral:rRNA from 1 species
UACGUAGGGUGCAAGCGUUAAUCGGAAUUACUGGGCGUAAAGCGUGCGCAGGCGGCUUUGCAAGACAGAUGUGAAAUCCCCGGGCUCAACCUGGGAACUGCAUUUGUGACUGCAUGGCUGGAGUGCGGCAGAGGGGACUGGAAUUCUCGGUGUAGCAGUGAAAUGCGUAGAUAUCUGGAGGAACACCGGUGGCGAAGGCGGCAUCCUGGACCGGUAUUGACGCUGAGGCGCGAAAGCCAGGGGAGCAAACGGG